UUGGAGUCUGCAACUCGACUCCAUGAAGUCGGAAUCGCUAGUAAUCGUAGAUCAGAAUGCUACGGUGAAUACGUUCCCGGGCCUUGUACACACCGCCCGUCACACCAUGGGAGUGGGUUGCAAAAGAAGUAGGUAGCUUAACCUUCGGGAGGGCGCUUACCACUUUGUGAUUCAUGACUGGGGUGAAGUCGUAACAAGGUAACCGUAGGGGAACCUGCGGUUGGAUCACCUCCUUACCUAAAGA
rnacentral:rRNA from 1 species